rnacentral:rRNA from 1 species
AAUAUUGGACAAUGUGUGGAAGCCUGACCCCGUCAGGCCGCGUGUGUGCAGAAGGUCAUCGGUUUGUAAAGCACUUUAUUUUGGGAGGAAGGGAUUACACCCAAUACGUGUGAACUUUGACGUCACCAAAUGAAUAAGCACCGGCUACCUUCGUGCCAGCAGCCGCGGUAAUACGAAGGGUGCAAACGUUAAUCGGAAUUACUGGGCGUAAAGCGGGCGUAGGUGGUUCGUUAAGUUGGAAGUGAAAGCCCCGGGCUCAACCUGGGAAUUGCUUUCAAAACUGGCGAGCUAGAGUACGGUAGAGGGUGGUGGAAUUUCCUGUGUAGCGGUGAAAUGCGUAGAUAUAGGAAGGAACAUCAGUGGCGAAGGCGACCACCUGGACUGAUACUGACACUGAGGUGCGAAAGCGUGGGGAGCAAACAGG